UUUAUGGAGAGUUUGAUCCUGGCUCAGGAUGAACGCUGGCGGCGUGCCUAAUACAUGCAAGUCGAGCGAACGGACGAGAAGCUUGCUUCUCUGAUGUUAGCGGCGGACGGGUGAGUAACACGUGGAUAACCUACCUAUAAGACUGGGAUAACUUCGGGAAACCGGAGCUAAUACCGGAUAAUAUUUUGAACCGCAUGGUUCAAAAGUGAAAGACGGUCUUGCUGUCACUUAUAGAUGGAUCCGCGCUGCAUUAGCUAGUUGGUAAGGUAACGGCUUACCAAGGCAACGAUGCAUAGCCGACCUGAGAGGGUGAUCGGCCACACUGGAACUGAGACACGGUCCAGACUCCUACGGGAGGCAGCAGUAGGGAAUCUUCCGCAAUGGGCGAAAGCCUGACGGAGCAACGCCGCGUGAGUGAUGAAGGUCUUCGGAUCGUAAAACUCUGUUAUUAGGGAAGAACAUAUGUGUAAGUAACUGUGCACAUCUUGACGGUACCUAAUCAGAAAGCCACGGCUAACUACGUGCCAGCAGCCGCGGUAAUACGUAGGUGGCAAGCGUUAUCCGGAAUUAUUGGGCGUAAAGCGCGCGUAGGCGGUUUUUUAAGUCUGAUGUGAAAGCCCACGGCUCAACCGUGGAGGGUCAUUGGAAACUGGAAAACUUGAGUGCAGAAGAGGAAAGUGGAAUUCCAUGUGUAGCGGUGAAAUGCGCAGAGAUAUGGAGGAACACCAGUGGCGAAGGCGACUUUCUGGUCUGUAACUGACGCUGAUGUGCGAAAGCGUGGGGAUCAAACAGGAUUAGAUACCCUGGUAGUCCACGCCGUAAACGAUGAGUGCUAAGUGUUAGGGGGUUUCCGCCCCUUAGUGCUGCAGCUAACGCAUUAAGCACUCCGCCUGGGGAGUACGACCGCAAGGUUGAAACUCAAAGGAAUUGACGGGGACCCGCACAAGCGGUGGAGCAUGUGGUUUAAUUCGAAGCAACGCGAAGAACCUUACCAAAUCUUGACAUCCUUUGACAACUCUAGAGAUAGAGCUUUCCCCUUCGGGGGACAAAGUGACAGGUGGUGCAUGGUUGUCGUCAGCUCGUGUCGUGAGAUGUUGGGUUAAGUCCCGCAACGAGCGCAACCCUUAAGCUUAGUUGCCAUCAUUAAGUUGGGCACUCUAAGUUGACUGCCGGUGACAAACCGGAGGAAGGUGGGGAUGACGUCAAAUCAUCAUGCCCCUUAUGAUUUGGGCUACACACGUGCUACAAUGGACA
rnacentral:rRNA from 1 species